ACAUGUACACGCAUGUGUGUGUCUUAAAUGAUUAGACGUUUGAGAGGUGGCGCCACAAGAUAGACAGGAAAAGGAUUAGUGAUAAAGGACAGAAGAAUCGAGAAUUAGAAAAAGAUAUCUUUAUCGAGAGACAAAUUGAGAGAAGAGCUGAAACUCAGGUGAUUGAUUAAUCUCCACCUGUGGUGAAGAUUUGGAGUGUGGGAUCAAACCUCGAAUUAUAAAUCGAGAUUUGAUCAACAAGCUGACAACAAAUAGGAGCAUGAACAUUUAAUUGUUGAUUCUCUUAUUUUAGGUUAGUAAGCCACGUGCAAUUUGUAGUCUAAUUCAUUUCAUAAUUUAAAUAAACUCUUAUUUUAGACGAAUCAAGGUGUGUUUAUUGCUUCGAUAGAACUCUCCACAUAUUAUAUACAUAUGUCAUUUCUCACGUAUAAUCCCCACCCCGGCGCGAAAUGCAAGAAGAGUGUUUGUCGUACGUAUCGGUUUGUAUCGUGUGUGCGUCUCAUGAACGCUCCAGAUGCUCGAAUGGGUGUGAAGAUUCUUUGUAUGCUGGCGCAGCAUGGUCAAAACGCGUGUGUAUCAAAGCGGUCAUAGCGGUAGAGCCAUCUCGAGCAAGACGCGGGGGUAUUGAUUUCGCAAAGUGCAAACACAUCCUUAUCCAAGAGGCUACUUCUCGAAGCCCACAGCUGCCCCAGCCGGGGCCCGCUCUCCGUAUAAGCCGGUUCCCGCAAAAAUUACGUAGUGUGUUUUCUGUGCUGCAUCGCGGUGAGGGCCCUUUGCGUAAAAAUUACGCACACCUAUAGGGCAAACGGUCAGCCAGCGCCCCGUUCUUUUAUUUGCGAUGCACAUUGUGUCAAUGUGUCGAAUUAUGCGCGAAUGUGUUUGUGCGGUGGUGGCUGGGGCUGCACCCGAGGAUGUGCUUGCGGCCGAAGAGCUAUUCCAUUAUUAAUCCAUUACGCGAAACGAAAUCUGUGAAAAAUAUUUGUUUUUGUAUUUCGUUGUUUCGAAUAUUAUUAUAACAAGAAUCAUAGCUGAAUACAUCCACCCUGACAAGGUGCUGGCCCUGGUGGACCCUCGCGACCAUUGGCUCCAUGCCAAGAACCGUCGGGGCGGGCAGUUACAGCAUGUAAUCAUCGUACCUAAAAUCCCGAUCCCUGGCGUAGAGGUCGAAGAGGAUCCCUGAGUGGUGGAUCUAAACGAGUUCUACACUAGGGAGCGGAAUUUCGGUUACGACGACUACAUGUCGUACUGAAGUAGCGAAGAGGCGGUUUUCGAGGUGUCAGAGCACCUGGUGUACGGGGCUUUAGGACCAGUGCCUGAAAGGGAGAUUUGGGGGUGGACGGCGGAUGGCUUUUGGAAGUGGCUUGGCGAGGGCGAGCCAUCUUCGGACGAGUCGGAGUGGUCGGUGGACGGUGGGAGGGUUGGGGGUUACGACUACGAGGGAGGUGACGACAAUCAAGAGGUUGAUGGGUGGGUGACCAGUGGGCUACCAGCUACCCCUAAAUCUUGUACAGGUGGAGUGGGGGAAAAUGUGUUGCACUGUGGAGCGUACCAGGGCGUCUCGGUGACGUGGUGUGAGGCCCCUCCGGCAAUCCAGUCAGUAUUACUGAUUGUGAGUCCGAUCGCACGCGACCAUGGCGUCAGGAAGAUCCGGAUUGUCGCGAGAGGGGUGCAGCACGUUGUUUCGAACCUUUGAAAGAGCUUUGAAAAAAGCGGACUGUCAUCUUCUUCGGUCGUCGACGUAUGGGUCGAACGCUUCGUGGUCGAAGAAACUCACCGUGGGACUUUGCCUUCGUAUGAACGGCACUUUCGAGCCCGUUGUGCGAUUGAUCAACAAUUACUCUAGCGGUGUGUCGCUAGGAUUGGAAGGUUGGGCCGGCCUGAUUGCAAAUUUGCCGAAGCUGGAGGAAUACUUUGAGAAGAAAGAUGCUCCCGGUGGCAACCUCUUUGCGGUGGUGAACGAUACGAUCGCGCUAGAUAGCGGGUGUUUUUUGCGUUUUACAACAGCUCACAGGGCGAAGGUGAUCGCAUUUUACUCGACCGAAACAUCGGGCAAAGGUGACGACGCCACUAUCGAAAACUCGCCUCAGGAGGAUGAUGGAGAGGAUACCGCGACACAAGGGGCCAAAAGGCAAGAAGUUCACACCCCGGUAAUCGUGAUGCAAAAAGUAACCUUCGACGGCCUGGAACACAUAGCAUGCUGCGUAAACGAGCGUUCAGCUGAACACGCUGCUGGGGGGCGUCAACAGGUCCAAGGAAUCGGUGAUCCGCUACUUCGCUUCGAUAAUCACGGCUAGGAAAAUCAAAGCGCCAACUCUGCAGCAGAUACACGGGGCCGUGUGCGACCACAUAGAGACUGCGCGACAAGUGGUAUGUUUGCAGUUUGAUAUAAGAUUCCGGGACUACUUCUUCGAUAUUAUUUACAGCGAAAUGAUGCGCUUAUUUCUGUCGUAUUUCGUGGCCGAUAUUGGGCAGAGUGGCUUGAUCCAGGGGUAGUGAAAGUUGAUUUAUAAAUCAGUAGAAUAAUGAAGAACACAUAGUUUGUAUCACUGAGAUUCAAGAUCCUAACACCGCUAUAUUGUCGCCAAAAAAGAACUGUCCAUUUUUUUGUAUUACCUUUGUUACGUCUAACGCCUCUCCUUAUCUCAACUAUCCCACGCUGAACCCGAUCUCUCACAUCCUCUUCUCCUAUUCACCACUGCAUAUAGAUUUGCAACUAGGAAUCGUGCGAGUUGCAUACGGCACCAACGUAUGCAACUCAUUGUCAGCUAAAAACCCCUCCCAAUUCCGAACCUCCCUUCUUCACAUCUUCUCUAGCCAAGCAGCUCUCUACUCCUAACAUUCGAACUAGAAACAUCUUUCUUCUCCAACAAAUCUCCAACAAAGUCAACAUACGUACCAAUAAACAAGUAAAUGUGCAACAUA